GUGGGGAAUAUUGGACAAUGGGCGAAAGCCUGAUCCAGCCAUGCCGCGUGUGUGAAGAAGGUCUUCGGAUUGUAAAGCACUUUAAGUUGGGAGGAAGGGCAGUAAGUUAAUACCUUGCUGUUUUGACGUUACCGACAGAAUAAGCACCGGCUAACUUCGUGCCAGCAGCCGCGGUAAUACGAAGGGUGCAAGCGUUAAUCGGAAUUACUGGGCGUAAAGCGCGCGUAGGUGGUUUUGUAAGUUUGAGGUGAAAUCCCCGGGCUCAACCUGGGAACUGCCUCCAAAACUGCAUGACUAGAGUACGGUAGAGGGUAGUGGAAUUUCCUGUGUAGCGGUGAAAUGCGUAGAUAUAGGAAGGAACACCAGUGGCGAAGGCGACUACCUGGACUGAUACUGACACUGAGGUGCGAAAGCGUGGGGAGCAAACAGGAUUAGAAACCCUUGUAGUCC
rnacentral:rRNA from 1 species